AGAGAGAGACAUGCGCGCAUAUCAAUAAGCGGAGGAAAAGAAACUAACAAGGAUUCCCCUAGUAACGGCGAGUGAAGCGGGAAGAGCUCAAAUUUGAAAUCUUAAAGGGUUUCCCUUUACGAAUUGUAGUUUAAAGAAGUGUUUUCUGUUGAGGUUUUGGUAAAAGUUCUUUGGAAUAGGACAUCAUAGAGGGUGAGAAUCCCGUAUUUGACCUUUACUUUCAACUUUGUGAUACACUUUCAAAGAGUCGGAUUGUUUGGGAAUGCAGUCCAAAAUGGGUGGUAAAUUUCAUCUAAAGCUAAAUAUUGGCGAGAGACCGAUAGCGAACAAGUACCGUGAGGGAAAGAUGAAAAGAACUUUGAAAAGAGAGUUAAACAGUACGUGAAAUUGUCAAAAGGGAAGCGUUUGACACCAGUGUUGUUUUUCUGAAAAUCAAUUAAAGAACUGUUUAUGCUAAGCUUGUUUAGACUUUAUCAGCUAACUGUUUAGUUUUGAGCUUUUCUUUAAUGCACUUUUCAGUUAACAAGUCAACAUCAAUUUCUUUUGCUGUAAAAAAGCUUGAGGAAGGUGGCUUGAGAUUCGUCUUAAGUGUUUAUAGCCUCUUGCCUAUGCAGUCGGAGAGAUUGAGGUCUGCAGCGUAGAUCCUUCGGGGCUAAAUGCAUUUGUGCUAAGUUAUAGCAUUUUAUAGACAACUUGUUGACUAUGAUUUGUCUUGUAGCUUACUCGCUUAUGUUAUUUUACCUACGCUUAGGAUGUUGACGCAUGAGAUAUACGC
rnacentral:rRNA from 1 species